CCUACGGGAGGCAGCAGUGGGGAAUAUUGGACAAUGGGGGAAAGCCUGAUCCAGCGACGCCGCGUGAGUGAAGAAGUAUUUCGGUACGUAAAACUCUUUCAGCCAGAAAGAAAAUGACGGUACUUGUCUAAGAAUCCGCGGCUAACUACGAGCCAGCAGCCGCGGCAAUACGUCGGGGGCCAGCGUUAUACGGAUUUACUGGGUGUAAAGGGAGCGUAGGCGGGAGCGCAAGUCUGGAGUGAAAUGCCGGGGCCCAACCCCGGAACUGCUGUGGAAACUGUGAAGCUGGAGUGGAGGAGAGGUAAGCGGAAUGCGUGGUGUAGCGGUGAAAUGCGUAGAUAUCAGGAGGAACACCGGCGGCGAAGGCGGCUUACUGGACUGUAACUGACGUUGAGGCUCGAAGGCGUGGGGAGCAAACAGGAUUAGAUACCCGUGUAGUC
rnacentral:rRNA from 1 species